rfam:Loxodonta africana unplaced genomic scaffold scaffold_89, whole genome shotgun sequence.
ACACUGAAUGGGCAGAGCAGAAGGUUAGCAUUCCCCUGAAAAAGGACAGAAGAGUUCUUAGUGAUUUAUAUACUACACAUAUGGUUAAGGAACUCACCCACUUAGUGGCAUCUAACCAUGACUUAUC